rnacentral:rRNA from 1 species
UAGAGUUUUAUCCUGGCUCAGAUUGAACGCUGGCGGCAGGCCUAACACAUGCAAGUCGAACGGUAGCACAGAGAGCUUGCUCUCGGGUGACGAGUGGCGGACGGGUGAGUAAUGUCUGGGAAACUGCCUGAUGGAGGGGGAUAACUACUGGAAACGGUAGCUAAUACCGCAUAACGUCGCAAGACCAAAGAGGGGGACCUUCGGGCCUCUUGCCAUCAGAUGUGCCCAGAUGGGAUUAGCUAGUAGGUGGGGUAACGGCUCACCUAGGCGACGAUCCCUAGCUGGUCUGAGAGGAUGACCAGCCACACUGGAACUGAGACACGGUCCAGACUCCUACGGGAGGCAGCAGUGGGGAAUAUUGCACAAUGGGCGCAAGCCUGAUGCAGCCAUGCCGCGUGUAUGAAGAAGGCCUUCGGGUUGUAAAGUACUUUCAGCGGGGAGGAAGGCGAUAAGGUUAAUAACCUUGUCGAUUGACGUUACCCGCAGAAGAAGCACCGGCUAACUCCGUGCCAGCAGCCGCGGUAAUACGGAGGGUGCAAGCGUUAAUCGGAAUUACUGGGCGUAAAGCGCACGCAGGCGGUCUGUCAAGUCGGAUGUGAAAUCCCCGGGCUCAACCUGGGAACUGCAUUCGAAACUGGCAGGCUAGAGUCUUGUAGAGGGGGGUAGAAUUCCAGGUGUAGCGGUGAAAUGCGUAGAGAUCGGAGGAAUACCGGUGGCGAAGGCGGCCCCCGGACAAAGACGACGUCAGGUGCGAAAGCGGAGCACC